rnacentral:rRNA from 1 species
CCUACGGGAGGCAGCAGUGGGGAAUUUUGGACAAUGGGCGCAAGCCUGAUCCAGCAAUGCCGCGUGCAGGAUGAAGGCCUUCGGGUUGUAAACUGCUUUUGUACGGAACGAAACGGUCCUUUCUAAUACAAGGGGCUAAUGACGGUACCGUAAGAAUAAGCACCGGCUAACUACGUGCCAGCAGCCGCGGUAAUA